UUUCCUUGUUUUCCUCUUUCCUGUUAUCUCAUUGAAUAUACCUCCUGAGUUUGCAUCUUUAUCUUCCAGUGUUUUUCAUGCCCUCUGGUGCUUCUAGUGUGGAUUUUCAGUUGGACUUUGGAUUUUGAUUUAUAAAUUGGUGUGCAGACACAGAACAGUGAAACAACAUGAAGACUGUGAUUGCCGCUCUUCUGAUGUCACUGGUUAUCAGCCAGGGUGAAUCCUUAAGGUGUAAGUGUGCAGGCCCCGCACGGCCCUGUGACAGUCCUAUCGAGACCUGCCCAGCUUCUCAUACUUUCUGUGGCAACGUUCAGAUUCCACCUGGUUCCACUGAUUACUUCUUCCAGGGUUGCAUGGAACCAAGGGAGUGCACAGGAAUGAAUAAUGAUAUAGUUAAGACCACUUGCUGCUCCUAUGAUAUGUGCAACGCAAACAAUGUUGCACUUGACAAAUGAAUAAUCUUCUCUGUGUUGUGUGCUGUAGCAUUGUCUUAAUAAAGUUCAGUCACUUGCAA